ACGGGAGGCAGCAGUGGGGAAUAUUGCACAAUGGGGGAAACCCUGAUGCAGCGACGCCGCGUGGAGGAAGAAGGUCUUCGGGUUGUAAACUCCUGUCGUUAGGGACGAUAAUGACGGUACCUAACAAGAAAGCCACGGCUAACUACGUGCCAGCAGCCGCGGUAAAACGUAGGUGGCAAGCGUUGUCCGGAAUUACUGGGUGUAAAGGGAGCGUAGGCGGCUCGGCAAGUUGGAAGUGAAAACUAUGGGCUCAACCCAUAGCCUGCUUUCAAAACUGUCGAACUUGAGUACUGUAGAGGUAGGUGGAAUUCCCGGUGUAGCGGUGGAAUGCGUAGAUAUCGGGAGGAACACCAGUGGCGAAGGCGACCUACUGGGCAGCAACUGACGCUGAGGCUCGAAAGCAUGGGUAGCAAACAGGAUUAGAUACCCUGGUA
rnacentral:rRNA from 1 species